UAAAAAAAAAAAAAAAACUUUAAUAGCGGAAAAUUAUCCAACCUGGCAACCCAAGCUGCCUGUCACGGCCGUAUUGUUUAAGCAAAUACGUCAUCACAACAACGGCAGCAUGGACACAGAAGCUGGCAGCUCUCGAAACCAGAGGUUGGUGGGGAAUGAGCCGAAUUCCACACUUGAGUGAUCUCAGUCAAGUGAACACUACAGGAGCAUCCAAACACUGAAGUUGUGUGCACUGAAACAGCACUGGUGGCGAGAUGGCCGUUCCGACAUUCCCGACAAAUGGCGAGACGUUAAUGAAAGGAGACGUCCUCCCCGAGGCUGCCAAUGACUAGUGUAUCCUCACGCUUUAAGACAUUCGUGUCGUUGGAUGUGUGCGCCACAAAAGCCGCGUUGGCAGUCGUACUGUAUGACCCCCCGAGAUGUAACA